rnacentral:SRP_RNA from 1 species
GCCGGGCGCGGUGGCACGCGCCUGUAGUCCCAGCUACUCCGGAGGCUGAGGUGGGAGAACUGCUUGAGCCCAGGGGUUCUGGGCUGUAGCGCGCUAUGCCCAUCGGGUGUCCGCACUAAGUUCAGCAUCAAUAUGAUGACUUCUUGGAAGUGGGGGACCACCAGGUUGCCAAAGGAGGGAUGAACCGGCCCAGGUUGGAAACGGAGCAGGUCAAAACUCCUGUGCUGAUCAGUAGUGGGAUCGCGCCUGUGAAUAGCCACUGCAUUCCACCCUGGGCAACAUAGGGAGACCCUGACUCU